CUUGCUUUCUUUGCUGGCGACCGGCGCACGGGUGAGUAACACGUAUCCAACCUGCCCUUUACUCGGGGAUAGCCUUUCGAAAGAAAGAUUAAUACCCGAUAGUAUAAUGAUUCCGCAUGGUUUCAUUAUUAAAGGAUUCCGGUAAAGGAUGGGGAUGCGUUCCAUUAGGUUGUUGGUGAGGUAACGGCCCACCAAGCCUUCGAUGGAUAGGGGUUCUGAGAGGAAGGUCCCCCACAUUGGAACUGAGACACGGUCCAA
rnacentral:rRNA from 1 species